GUGAGGAAUUUUCCGCAAUGGGCGAAAGCCUGACGGAGCAAUGCCGCGUGAAGGAUGAAGGCCUAUGGGUUGUAAACUUCUUUUCUUAGAGAAGAAUAUUGACGGUAUCUGAGGAAUAAGCAUCGGCUAACUCUGUGCCAGCAGCCGCGGUAAGACAGAGGAUGCAAGCGUUAUCCGGAAUGAUUGGGCGUAAAGCGUCUGUAGGUGGCUUCAAAAGUCUCCUGUCAAAGAUCAGGGCUUAACCCUGGGCCGGCAGGAGAAACUCUGAGGCUAGAGUUUGGUAGGGGCAGAGGGAAUUCCCGGUGGAGCGGUGAAAUGCGUAGAGAUCGGGAAGAACACCAAAGGCGAAAGCACUCUGCUGGGCCACAACUGACACUGAGAGGCGAAAGCGAGGGGAGCAAAAGGGAUUAGAUACCCUUGUAGUCC
rnacentral:rRNA from 1 species